AACGAACGCUGGCGGCGCGCCUAAUACAUGCAAGUCGAGCGAGAAGGUGUAGCAAUACACUUGUAAAGCGGCGAACGGGUGAGGAAUGCAUGGGUAACCUACCCUCGAGUGGGGAAUAACUAGCCGAAAGGUUAGCUAAUACCGCAUACGUUUCCGGAACUUCGGUUUCGGAAAGAAAGCAAUACCGUGGGUAUUGCGCUCCUGGAUGGGCUCAUGUCCUAUCAGCUUGUUGGUGAGGUAACGGCUCACCAAGGCUUCGACGGGUAGCUGGUCUGAGAGGACGAUCAGCCACACUGGCACUGCGACACGGGCCAGACUCCUACGGGAGGCAGCAGUAAGGAAUAUUGCGCAAUGGACGAAAGUCUGACGCAGCGACGCCGCGUGGGGGAUGAAGGUCUUCGGAUUGUAAACCCCUUUCGGGAGGGAAGAUGGAGUGGGUAACCACUUGGACGGUACCUCCAGAGCAGCCACGGCUAACUUCGUGCCAGCAGCCGCGGUAAU
rnacentral:rRNA from 1 species